AUUAGGUAGAGACACAGAUUUUAAGUGGAAAUUGCCAUCCAUUUUUACAGAUGUAUACACCCAUACAACCCACAUCCUUAUCAACAUAUAGAAUGUUUCCAUUGUUUCGAAUGUACAAGCUCACCACCUCGAAGGCAAGCAGUGAUGUGGUUUCCAUCACCAGAUUUGUUUUGCCUAUUGCUGAACUGCAUAUACAUAAAUCUGGGUCUGGCUUAUUUCGCUCAGAAUGCCUUUACGUUUUAUCCAUGAGGGUGGAGGGGCGGUUCUCUGUGAUCCGCCUGCUGCUGCUAGAAGCGCCGAGGAACAAUCUAGGACGGGCAGAGCCACAGUAAGGAAAGCCCUGGUCCUGGAGGAGGAGAACCACCCCCACGCCCACACUAUUUCCAUCCCUUCCCGGGGCGCUCGCCUUCUCCUAGGUUGUGACCUUCUGUGACCCCCGCAACCUGCCCGCAGGCGGGGCUGGGUGAGCGCCUCCGACUUUCCUUUCCACCCACAGGGAUCCUGAGGCUAGUGCAGAAUGGGAAGGGAAUACAGGCCUCAAAAAAAUGCCUUGGGGGGGAUGGGGAUGGGGGUGAGGGUGGGGGUGGGGGUGCGAAGUCUCUGGUACAAGUAGAGUUAAAAACGCUCCAAGAACAAACAGCUCUGCUCUGCUCUGCUCUGCUUCCCACAUCAGAGCGCUCUCCGCCCCCGGGCCAGCUCACUUCCCUGGGGCCACAUCAAGCCAGGUUUUUCCACCAGCCAAAGGCCUCCUCAGCCAAACAGCACUGGAUCUCCCAGGCUGGCAGCAGCCUCUAUUUAUCCACCCCUCUCUUCACUCCCUCCCUGGGCUGGAGGGCUGGUCGCUUUCUCCACUUUCCCAGGACCCUGCUGUACUCUUCCUACUCUCCAAACAACAGGACAUCUUUCCCAGGAAGCCUAGGGGGAACACCCCGUUCUUCUUUUAGCUCCUGUGAGCAAGUACAAGUGAGGGAGCGUGCUCUGAGGCUCACUCACCUUUACAGGAGUGACUGUGUCAUCAGGCCCAGAACUCCGGGGGGGAAGAGGGAGCACCCCAUCAGCCCUUCUCCCUGGCCCCCCCAUACGUGGACUCUGACAGAGCUGGAGAUGACAGCGAUGGGAGUAAAUACACAAGAUCUUUAUUAA
rnacentral:lncRNA from 12 species